rnacentral:rRNA from 1 species
GCUGAACGCUAGCGGCAGGCCUAAUACAUGCAAGCUGAGGGGUAGAAGAGGCUUGCAUCUUUGAGACCGGCGCACGGGUGCGUAACGCGUAUGCAACCUACCUUCAUCUGGGGGAUAGCCCGGAGAUAUUCGGAUUAAUACCGCAUACAAUCACAGGAUGGCAUUAUCAAAUGAUCAAACAUGUAUGUGAUGGAGAUGGGAAUGCGUGUCAUUAGCUAGUUGGCGGGGUAACGGCCCACCAAGGCGACGAUGACUAGGAGCUAUGAGAUGAUGGCCCCCCACACUGGUACUGAGACACGGACCAGACUCCUACGGGAGGCAGAAGUAAGGAAGAUUGGUCAAGGGAGGCAACUCUGAACCAGCCAGGCCGCGUGCAGGAAGACUGCCCUAUGGGUUGUAAACUGCUUUUAUUCCGGAAUAAACCUUAUUACGUGUAAUAAGCUGGAUGUACCGAAGGAAUAAGGAUCGGCUAACUCCGUGCCAGCCGCCGCAGUAA